GCCGAUGUGGUGAAACUGGUAGUCACGCAUGGCUCAAACCCAUGUGCCCGAAAGGGCGUUGGGGGUUCGACUCCCCCCGUCGGUACAA
rnacentral:tRNA from 1 species